UUGCAGGCAAUGAGAGGGAUUAGUAAGCAUCCAUUCAUGCAGUCAGAGAGCGGGACCCACAGGCUGAAAGGACCGUUGCCUCUGAAUGUGCUGAACCUACCCUUGAGCUACCAGUGAAAAGCUGGACGUGUCUCGCGUUAUGAGAGUAGAGUGGGCAAUUAUGCCAACAAAAGGUGGUACCGCGGAUAUCCAACCUCCGUCCUUUUU
rnacentral:ncRNA from 1 species